CGGCGCGAGAACCAGCGGCUCAAUAAAUCCUAUAAGCGACGCAUAGGCGUUCUUUACGAUCGGAUACUGACCGUGACCGGUCUUGAACGAUCGGUCGUUCUGAAACGCUGUCAAUUUCCGAUUAUACAUUCGACGAGAAACUGGAAACGAGAGUGAGGAGUACUCGUAAAAGUGAGGAAGAAUUCGAAAUUUGUGCACGAGGAUCUCGAUAAAAAUUGUUCCUGUACUACAAUUGAAAGAGAUGAAUGAUAUUCUUUGUGUACAGCCGACGGGUAAUCUAAUUCCCGGUGAUAGUGACGUUACUUCUUAUCUACGUUUAAUCUAUGAUCAAACCAACUUUCUAUGAACACUCGACGGAGAAGGAACGUUCGCAAAACUCACGAAACUCACGAAUCUCUGGAAAAUUACUUAUCCAAAUCGAAAAAAUCGAACAAAACUAAACUAAACUCCCAACCCAUCGAGAGUUCAACGAUGCAUCUGCGGCACGAUGCAUCGAGCGUGAAAGAGUCCCAGUUCGUUCGCACGUGCAGUUAACGUGUCGCGGUCACAUUGGUCCGGAAGCGUGCGUGCGGUAUGUGCGUACGAUUGAAGGAAACGUUGAACGUAUUCGCGGCACUCCGAUUCCGGCGUUCGGUUGUGCUCGUACGGCUUCGUUUGCAUAGAAGUGCGUGCGUAACCUACGCCGGAGGCCACGUAAGGUAGUGUACGCGGCAUUCGGAUCGUCCCGUCGCUUUGUUUACGCUCGUAUCGGGCCGAUGAUCGAGCAUCGUGUACACACCGCUUCUUAUCCACCGCUGCGUUAUCCACCUUCGAAAUGGCGCGUGUCGCGUGACGAGAGCCUCCUCAGUCGGUUUUCGCGCGUGCAACGCUUCCGAUCGGACCGUCAGACGCGUGUCGACGAUCGUCGCCGUCGCCGUCGUCGCCUCCUGUCCGUUCUCAUCCGAUCAUCCGACGGGGAAGAGCUGCGCUCACGUGCGCCUCUGUUCCAUCACGGUGCGUGUGCGGGCGCGUGUGUGUGUGUGUGCACGUGUAUGUGUGCUCGUUGUGUCGCGUCGGUGGUCGUGGCACACGUGUGCCUCGUUGUCGGUUACGCGAAUCCAACCUCAUUGUGUGCGUUCGUCGUGAGAGUUUGCCGCGUGUGACCUGUUCCGUGACUAGGAAAAUGAGACGAUCCAGUGGUAACGCGUUCUGAGGAUCAUCGAGGAGGAGCGGCAACGGGCAACCAGCCUCGCAUCGAUCCGGACUGUGACAAUCUGGCGGACGGCUCGGAGCGUGAUUCCCCUUGGAGCUGUGGGGGUGGCAGCGGUAUUGGCCGCAGACCCCUCACCUCCAUUAUCGAGCAACUACACACCUCCAAAAGCAAACUUCACAAU